CCCUUAGAUGUUCUGGGCCGCACGCGCGCUACACUGAUGCAUUCAACGAGCCUAUCCUUGACCGACAGGUCCGGGUAAUCUUUGAAUCUGCAUCGUGACGGGGAUAGAUUAUUGCAAUUAUUAAUCUUCAACGAGGAAUGCCUAGUAGGCGCAAGUCAUCAGCUUGCGUCGAUUGCGUCCCUGCCCUUUGUACACACCGCCCGUCGCUCCUACCGAUUGGGUGUGCUGGUGAAAUGUUCGGAUCGGCCGUUUGUCGCGGUUUCCGCGUCAUGUGGCUGAGAAGUUCAUUAAACCCUCCCACCGAGAGGAAGGAGAAGUCGUAACA
rnacentral:rRNA from 1 species